ensembl:misc_RNA
UUUAUUUUAUUCUUCGACAUUUAAGGUAACUGCAAACAUAUUGUUGAAAGAAAAUAAAAGGUACUUCUCAGGCUUUUUUAGUCUGCAGUAACUUAAAGAAAAGAACCCAGA